GUGCUCACUUCAGCAGCACAUGUACUAAAAUUGCAGUGAUACGGAGAAGAUGACCAUGGCCCCUGCGCAAGGAUGACAUGCAAAUUCGUGAAGCAUUCCAUAUUUUU